UACGUAGGGUGCAAGCGUUGUCCGGAAUUAUUGGGCGUAAAGAGCUCGUAGGCGGUUUGUCGCGUCUGCUGUGAAAACUCGGGGCUUAACUCCGGGCCUGCAGUGGGUACGGGCAGACUAGAGUGCGGUAGGGGAGACUGGAAUUCCUGGUGUAGCGGUGAAAUGCGCAGAUAUCAGGAGGAACACCGGUGGCGAAGGCGGGUCUCUGGGCCGUAACUGACGCUGAGGCACGAAAGCGUGGGUAGCAAACAGG
rnacentral:rRNA from 1 species